ACGCGCUGGCGGGACUCGGUGAAAUUCCGAACCGGCGGUGAUGCCCUGCUCCGGCAGAGCUAAGCCCGCGACCCGGACGUCGGCACCACGACGGACGGUGGACCUGGUGAGACUCCAGGGCCGACGGUAGGACGGACGGCUGCGAGGCCGAUCGUCCUGACAGUCCGGAUGGGAGACAGCGCGC
rnacentral:ncRNA from 2 species